ACAAUUUCAGUGUAGACCAACCAAUUGGCUCGUCUUAUUAUUUCGAAUGUCCUUAAGAUCAGUCAGUAUUAAUCCACUAUAGUAUCUCCAACAAGUUCUAGUAUAUGUUCUUAAAAGACUACUCUUGCUAUCUGGAGAAUGCUUUAUAAAAAGAUCAGUGGAAGUAGGCUGAUCUGGUGGUAGCAGAAUCCAGGGAAGCAUAGAAUGUGAGGAAGGGCGGAAAGCAUUAAAGGCUCGGGUGUUUAGUUUGAACAAAUGAAUCAGUGGUUAUAUCUUACAGAGGAUGAUAGAAGUGGGGUAGAAGUGAUUCGGGGGUAGAGAAAAGUAACUCUUUCAAUAUGUUACGUUUGGGGGCUAGAGAUGUGGUUCAGUGGCAGAACACAUGCUUAGCCUACUUGAGGUUCUGAGUUCAAACCUCAGCACAUUCCCCAAAACAACUUUUAUAAUUUUAUUACAUAGCUAUCUAGGUGGAUAUAUUACUCAAUUGGUGUGUAAGUCUGAAACUCAAGGAUAGGUAUCUAGAAUCAAAACAUAACUGAAAUUAAUUUCUGUUAGAUUGGAGAGAAUGGAGUUAGGAGGUAAUGAUUAUGUUAGUAUAGCUGAAUUUAUAAGGUUAGGGAAAAGAGAACUUCCACUUUGUCACCUCAAGAGCAGACUCCAAGACUAACAACUCUAGAAUUCUUAACUUACAAUAUUCUAAAAUCAGGCACCCUGGUAAAAGCUACAAUCUUCUCAUAUUAAUUCUGCAUAGAAUCCUGUCAUUGAGUUGCUCAGAAUUCCUAUCCUAAGAGCCUCUUUGAAAAUCUUCCAGACCAGUGCAAGAUAGAGAUUAAUUACUACAGUCAAAGUUUUCUAUUCUUUACCUUCAUUUCAUUUCUUAAUUAUUCUUUCCAACAACACCCUCAAUCCUCUAGUUUAAAUGGUAUUGAAUUUUUCAUCUUUUUUGGGCAAGGGCUAGAUUGAGACAUUUUAAAAAUUAUUUUUAUAUCUUAUCACUAUUUCUGUAGAGAUUCUUACACAAAUUACUCAAAUGCCCUUAGAGUUUUUAUAAUUAGUAUCUAUUACAGUUGCAGAAUAAAUCAGAUUUUAAAGGUUAUUUUUCAGACCAUUUAAAGUGAAAAAUAUUGAGGUACUCUUUAAAUGUAUGUUUGUAACUUUUUUCUGUUGCAGAAAUGGAAAAAAAGCUGAAGGAAGAGAGAGAAGCUCGAGAGAAGGCAGAAAAUAGAGUUGUUGAGACUGAGAAACAAUGUUCCAUGCUAGAUGUUGACCUGAAACAGUCUCAGCAGAAGCUAGAACAUUUGACCGAAAAUAAAGAAAGGAUGGAGGAUGAAGUAAGACACUGUGCUAAUGUUUUCAAUCUUUUGAGAGAAACUAUUCUAGGUUGUAACUGGAGAACUCUUGUGUAUAUUUGAAACACAGAAGAUUUGAAUGAAGUAUGUGUUCACUGUUUAUACUAUUAUCUCAGCACUUACACAAUUUUCAUUUCAACUAGCUAUUAAACAUUCUCUCCCUAGGAUCUGUUCCAUUGUGUAUUACAGCAGUGCAUGCAACUGUAUCAAAAUGUCUUAGUUCCUCCUAGAAGAAACUGUUGGCUUAAAACAACAAAAACAAAAACAAAAUAACCCACCAAACUAUCAACGAGUAUCUAUGUUAUUUAGAAAAGCAUUUAAAAAAAUUAACUACUGUUUGGAGUGGCUUACAUUAAUAGAAAACAUGUGUUUAUAAUACUAUUGAUAAAAAUAUAAAAGACAUUUGUUGGUGGUUACUAUCUGAGUUUUAGAACUUAUUUAUAAGGAGUUUUCAAGACUUGUCUUGGCGGAUAGUCAGUAUAGAUUAUGUACUUGGUAAGAAAGUAGUAAGUCAUACAUAAGAGGAAG
rnacentral:lncRNA from 1 species